rnacentral:tRNA from 2 species
AAGAGAAAUGCAUAAUGGUAGUGCAGUUGACUUGAAAUUAGCUGGGGGGGGUUCGAUUCCCUCGUCUCUUG